GCCGAUCUUUUCGCCCUUGGUUCCUUUGACCCCGCCUUCCCUCCUCGUCUCCGUGGGAUCGAUCGAAUCGGGGGAAUAGGGGGAAAGAAGUUGGGGUUGGGGGGAAAUGAUCACACGGUCGAAGCUGGUGGAACAGCUCAGAGACUACCAGAUCCGCUCUCAGCACAAGUGGGUCGCUCUUUUUAAUCCCAUCUCACCACCAGGCGGGACAUUAUUGGAGCUCUGUCGUGGGGUUUACUGUUGUGUUUUCUUGUAAUUUCGUCCUAUGUUACGCUCUAUUUCAGAUACUUCAAGCUUUCGGCCAUUAUUAUAUGUUUGGGAAUUCUUCUUCCUCUGUGCCUUCAAGUCUGUAGGCAGAGAAAGCUGGCUAAAAAAAGAGAAAGAAGGUUGCUGUUACCUCUGUCAAUGUGAUCUAUUAUUGGAGAUUUGGCAAAUGUUUUAGCGUAUAACUUGGUCAAACACAGGAGUAAUUGAUUGUUAGCUUGGCCAGCAUAUUGAGGUGGCUAAGAAGAACCAAGGACGAAUCUUGGUUGCUCAUCAUAUCCACCCACUCCUUGAAGGAUAAUACCCAGUCUCUUUUCAAUCUUAUUGGAAGAUGGACUACCUUGAUUCCCAUUUUGUGAGGCUUACCUAUUGAAUCUGUACACUCUUCCAGCAUAUCUUAAUCAACUUGCCAUGUAAGUGAUAUGGUGGGAAAACUGACAGACCGCUGAAUCUUACAAGGGCCUUCAGCAGGAACUGUUAUUCUUUGCCAUCAUACCUUGAAUGUCACUUCAUGUAAUUGAUGGUCAUGGUUGCAUCAUCUUUUUGCUGGAUGUAAUUCUUCUUGAGUUUCAGAAAAUCAAAUUUGUCUCUGCAUGGUGACGUGUUUUUAACUUUUGAAAUGAUUCUGUUCAAUAGGAUUAGAGUUGAAUAUAAAAAGAAAGUUUGUUGC